CAGCAGUCGCGGCAACACAAGGAAGACAAGUGUUAUUCAUCUUAAAUCGGUUUAAAGGGUACCUAGACGGUGAAUUAGGCCUUAAAUGGAACGUUUUUACUAGAGUUAUAUAUGCAUGAGGACUGUGUGAGUAUUACCAGAGUAGAGAUGUAAUUUUUUGAUACUGUUAAGACUGGUAAAGGCAAAAGCAAACCUUUAUAUAUUAACUGACGUUGAGGGACGAAGGCUUGGGGCGCAAACAGGAUUAGAUACCCCAGUAGUCCAGGCAGAGAAUUAUGAAUGUCAUAGAAUAGAUAUAAUAUUUAUCCUAUAAAUGAAAGUGUAAGCAUUCCACCUCAAGAGUAAUGUGGCAACGCAGGAACUGAAAUCAUUAGACCGUUUUUGAUACCAGUAGUGAAGUAUGUCGUUCAAUUUGUUAACCCUCAAAAAACCUUACCACAAUUUGAAUAUAUUUAAUAGAUAUAUAUUUUUAUAUCUUUAUUUAUACAAGCGUUGCAUUGUUGUCUUCAGUUAAUGUUGUGAGAUUUUGGUUAGAUUCAUUAAAUUAACGUAAUCCUAUAUUCUAUUUAAAUAUUAAUAGAUUAGUUCACCGCUAUAUUGGAUAUUGAUAACCGGGAGUAAGACUAGUCGUAAUGACCUUAAUAUUGUGGGCAAUGAGACGUGCCACA
rnacentral:rRNA from 1 species